rnacentral:rRNA from 1 species
UACGUAGGUGGCGAGCGUUGUCCGGAUUUAUUGGGCGUAAAGCGCGCGCAGGCGGUGCGGUAAGUCCGUCGUGAAAUCUCCCGGCUCAACUGGGAGGGUGCGGUGGAGACUGCCGGACUGGAGGCACUCAGAGGCCGGUGGAAUUCCCGGUGUAGCGGUGAAAUGCGUUGAUAUCAGGAGGAACACCCAUGGCGAAGGCAGCAAACUGGUCAUCAACUAACGCUGAGGCGCGAAAGCGUGGGUAGCAAACAGG